ensembl:lncRNA
GCGCCCUGCUUACCGUGCGGGCCGCGAUGCGGCGCUGAGGGUCUCCGGAGCGCGCGGCCCGGCAUGACGCUCUGACGGACGCUCUAACGGCCCCUCUGCCGCCCCGGGCCGGCCGCCCGGCCUGCUCUGCCAAGGCGAGUGACAGCGGCGGGCUCAGCGGGCCAAGCGCCAGCGAGCGCAAGCGCCAGUACUACGAGCUGUGCGGGAAGAUAGAGAACCUGCUGUGCUGCGGCCGCUGCCGGAGCUCUUUCUACUGCUCCAAGGAGCACCAGCGCCGGGACUGGAAGAAGCACAAGCUCGUGUGCCAGAGCGGCGAGGCCAGGCCCAAAGGGGCUCCUGGGGUUGGGGGAGCGGCCCGGACAACGGCGGGACUGCGCGGGGACGGCGCCGAUCCCAUGUCAGUGUCCGUCCCCGGGGACGCCGCUGGGGGCCCCAGCAGAGGCCGCCGCGACCUCGAGGCUCCCCCACCCGGUGUUCGCCGGGCGCACCCUGCUGAGCCCCGGGGAGGCGCUGAACCCUGGCGGCGGCACCAGGGGACCGCGGCCCAACGGGCAGACGAAGCCGCUGACCGCGCUGAAGCUGGCGCUCCAGUACAUCGUGCCGUGCAUGAACAAGCACGGCAUCUGCGUGACAGACGACUUCCUGGGCCGCGAGACGCGCGCUGCACGACACCGGCAAGUUCACGGACGGGCAGCUGGUCAGCCAGAAGAGCGACUCGUCCAAGGACAUCCGGGGCGACCAGAUCACCUGGGUGGAGGGCAAGGAGCCUGGCUGCGAAACCCUCGGGCUGCUCAUGAGCAGCAUGGACGACCUCAUCCGCCACUGCAAUGGGCAGCUGGGCAGCUACAAGAUCAAUAGGCGCACGAAACCCCAAGGACUAGAAGAAGGAUGGCUUGAAGAUUCAGACACUGAAUCCGCUUGGCGAAUAGGUGGCAUCACCGUGUGAAAGGAAGGCAGCAGCAGAGUACAGACCACAGGACCCUGCCCAAGUAAAGGUCAUUUCAGCUUGACCUUGCAUGGGUUUAGACAUUUUCAUCCUUUAAAAAAAUAUUUUGCUCUCCAGUUUUUCGUAAUUCUACUUAAUUCGGACACUUGAAAUAUGUGUUCAUUCUCUUGAGUUCAGAGUUGCUAAGGAAUGUAGCCUAAGAGUGAAUCAUUACCACAGAUAAUUUAUGUGCAUUUAUUGCUUGUUUGGGAUAGUUACAACCCAGAGUGUUUUCAAAUAAAAUGUCUUAAAUAAAGAUAUUUUCAGCUUGAAAAAAAAAGUCGAUGACUUAUUAUUCAGAUACUAAUAGGUGGAUCUCUGUCACUCUGGUGAUGUGAGAAUUUUCAGAACUUACGCAGAGUCUUAUGAAAAGUAAACUGUCAGGAAGCCACUGCUCAUUUUUCUUUAAACUCUAGUAAUGUGACAGUUGAAUCAUACAUGUCAUUGACUCGUCAAAACAAGCUUUAAUUGUUUUGUUUCACGGCGAACAGAUUAGAGCCCAGCUUUGUGGGGUUGGGAUUUUAAGUACCUGCUUUCUGACCUGCCAGCUGCUCAUGUGGUAGUGUUCUCAGUCUGUUUCUCAGAUCGUGCAUCAUCCAGGAAACUUGAGAAGUACACAAACAGACAAGGAAAAAUCCACAUAUUCUAAUGUGUGUCUGUUAAAGGAGGACAGCACUUGCUUUUUCUAUUUCCUGUGACAGGAAGACACCAAUGCUAGCCUUGCUACUCUCAGGAUAUCCUGUAAAUACACAGACUUGAACAUUAGUGGUUUUGUUGUUUGUUUUUGCUUGCUAAGAAAUAUUUAUUAGCAAUAUUUAAUAUACAAAUUCCCAGCUCCAAGAAAUUAUUCCAGUUUUUAACAAUAAAU